GCAGGGGCUUUAACUCACUGAGCCACCCAGGCGCCCCAGUAUGCUGUAGGAUCUUAAUUAGCUUGUAGUGCAUAGGGUUUGAAAUCAUUGUACCUCACCCCGUGAAACAAUGGCUGUGUGAUUGCGGAUAAAUCGCUUAAUCUCUCUAGGCCUCAUUUACUUCAUUCAUUCAACAAGUACUUAUUGAUCACCAGAUGCAGUGGUGAACAAGACAGGUACUCCGUCCCUAUCUUCAUGGAACUCACAGUCCACAAGUAUGUGUGAGGGUUAAUGGUGCAGUAAGGCAAGAUAGGGCAAUUGACAUAGGGUCAGCUUUGAAGCAAACAAACAUUGAUUCUAAAAUCCUGGUUCUGCCGCCAUGGCCUGUUCCUUAACUUGUUCACUAUUUUUUGUUUGUUUGUUUUUUGUUGUUUAAGAUUUUAUUGUCAAGUAAUCUCUACACCCAACAUCGGGCUCAAACUCAAAAUUCCGAGAUCAAGAGUUGCAUGUCCUGCUGAAUGAGUCUGCCAGUUCUGGAUGCCCCAUCUCAAGAUCCUUAAUCGCAUCUGCAAAGUUGUUGCCACCUAAGGUAACAUUCACAGUUUUAAGGAUUAGGGCAUGGACAUCUUAACAGGGGGCAUUUUUCAGCUUCCCAUAGUCCUUGUCAUAAGUCACAGUCAUCUUGCCAUCCCUCCCUUCAAAUGAAUCUAUGCACUGGGCCAUCAGGAGCACAUUCUCUUUUAGCCCAGCAUCUCCAGUUACUUCUAAAAAGCAAUUGUAGUUGUCAGAUGUGUCUGUACUACAGACACAGACCUGCUGACCCCUUGAUUUUGGCCCAUCGUUACUUCCGGACUUCUGGCCUCCAGAACUGUGAAAGGACACAUACACACAUGAUUUCAUUGUGGGUUUUAGGGGGCUUGUGAACUCCCAUGAAGUUCAGUCAUGGACCUGAUCUUGGACCCUGGGUUAAGAAUCCCAAAUUGGAAAGAACCCUGGCAUCAGGAUGUCUGAAUUCAGUCCCUAUCUCUGCCACAGCAGGUGACCUCAAGCAGGUCACUUCCCCUUUUGUAGCCUGAGUUGGACUAGAUGAUCUCUGAAAUCCCUGUCAGCUCUAAAGAUCAAUGAGUCUGUGAGCAGUUUCAGAUGAGGAUCACAAUUAAUUGCUCUUCUCCUGAUCAUUCUGCCCAAUUUCCCAUUUCAUCCAUUUCUGAAACAAGUCUCCCCAUUUCCUUUGGCUUUGAGUAAUCAUUAAAAAAUAGUCCUGUGCUGUGAGCCAAGAGAAAUUUAACUGGCUAUAGACUGGACAUAGGCUUUUUAAUAGGACCUUCCCAGUUGCAGUGGUUUCCUCCCCUUUCCCUUUAUUUCAAUAUUCUCCCUGUUAUGUGCAUGUCAGGAAAGCUGUCACCCAGUGCAUUGUGCUAAAUUGUCUCAAAGAGGGAACUGGGGCUGAAAAGAUCUCAGUGGAAAGAACAAAAAGAUGGCUAAGCUUUCUGGGCCCAGUGACCUUUGAAGAGCCCCUGCCAAAACUAAGGGUGGGAAAGACAGAGUUUCCUUUUCAUGCUGCCUUUUAAUGGAAGAAGGAACACUGUAAGAAGUCAGAUACAGGGUGUUAGGAAAGAGCUUGUGCGCCUUUCACACCGCUGAUGCAGGGAGUGCUUGCUUCAGUUGCAGAGCAGGUGAGCUAACGGUUGUUGCUGGCAACAAGAUUUUGGAUGCCUCCUUGGCCGGCAAAGUGUAUUAUUCAUCUCUGCAUCUCGAAUGCUCAGAAUAGAGCUAGGUACAUAUUAUGUGCUCACAUUUCUGCCUAAUGUGUGUGUGGCAGCUAUGAAAAUGUGCUAUUCAUAUCUCCUGCUGCAGGGGCAUAACUGACAGCCUUAAGCUGCUGUCCUCUCUGUGUCCAUCACCUCGUGUGCACUGAGGCCACACAUCCUGUGGCUGCCCCCGCCCCCCAAUCAGUGACGUGGCCUAGCAGGGACAUUAACUCAUGCACAUCCUGGUGAUAUGUGGAUUUCCUUUGGCUUGUGGGCUUCCCACUGGCCUGGCCAAACCUUUUUUGGAACUGAGCUGCCAACUGAGAUUCUCACAUCCAGACCUCAUUCCUUCCCACAUCCCCUUCUACAGGUGUCAGACCUUCAACAUUGUCCGAAGCCUCUCCUGUCUCCUGCUUCCUCCACAAUAAAUCUCUUGCUUGUCUGUCCCAUCUUGGUGUCUUCUCCUUGGCAGACCUAAACUAACACACUAUAAAAGAAUGAAUAAAUCCUUGUAACUAAGAGCAGAGAGGGCCAUGUUGGGGGAUAUGGGAGAAUGCACGUGAUCAUUUAUUAUUAUGAGGCUCUUGUUAAAGCCACUUGAAACGUUUGGAACCCUGCAGUCAAAGUGAUCCUUUCCAAAGGAAAACUGAUUUCAUCCUAAACCCUUCAAUGGCUUCCCGCUGCUCUUAAGAUAAAGCCAGUGCUCUGAUGAGGCCUGCGAGGUUCACUUUGGUCUGGUUCCUGCUAACUUCUGCAGUCUCACUUGCAUUACACUUGCCCUCACUCUCUCUUUUUGAGCCACACUUGUCCCUUUAUUUGCCAUCUUCUCUGCUGCUACAGAGCCUUUGGAUAUGUUGUUCCUUCUGUUCAGAGCUCUAUUCUCUCACCUUUUUGCCUAGUGAAUUCAUACUCAUAUCUGUACUUCAAUAUCACUUUGUCAGUGUAGCUUGCUUUGAUCUUCUCAACGAGGUCAGAUGCCCCCAUAACAUUUCCCAUCAUCUACCAAACUCCCUUAUAGUGCUUAUCAAGGUUUCAGUUUUUCAUUUGCUUGAGGGUCUCUGGUUAAUCUCUCUCCUUCUUUAGACUGUAAACUGCAUAAGGAGACAGAACAGGAUAUGGUUUUGCUCACUAUUGUCGCCUAGCAUCCGGCACGUAGUCUAGCACAGAGUAGGUACUCAAUACAUAAUUGUGCGAUUAUUGAGCCCAAGUAUUGGGGAAGGAGGGGGCUGUUCUGGAAUACAGUAUUUUGAGUCUGGUUUUGAGUUUUGAGAUUGAUUUUACCCUCAUACGUUAGCCGAUUACUGUUUGACAGAUGGUGGCAGAAGUCAAGAGACUUCCGGGUCACAGACAGAGGACUUAAUUACUCACAGUACAGCAGGUAGCAUAAACAUCAGAUUUGUUUGCAUCAGCUCCCCUUGCCUCCCACAUCUGAUGCGAAGGGUUCAGGUGCAUGCUCCUGUAGGCCACGUGUUGCAUUACAGA